rnacentral:rRNA from 1 species
GACGAACGCUGGCGGCGUGCCUAAUACAUGCAAGUCGAACGCAUUUUCUUUCACCGUAGCUUGCUACACCGACAGAAAAUGAGUGGCGAACGGGUGAGUAACACGUGGGUAACCUGCCAAUCAGCGGGGGAUAACACUUGGAAACAGGUGCUAAUACCGCAUAAUUCCAUUUACCGCAUGGUAGAUGGGUGAAAGGCGCUUUUGCGUCACUGAUGGAUGGACCCGCGGUGCAUUAGCUAGUUGGUGGGGUAACGGCCUACCAAGGCUGCGAUGCAUAGCCGACCUGGAGAGGUGAUCGGCCACACUGGGACUGGGACACGGCCCAGACUCCUACGGGAGGCAGCAGUAGGGAAUCUUCGGCAAUUGAGGCAAGUCUUACCGAGCAACGCCGCGGGGGUGAAGAAGGGUUUCGGAUCGUAAAACUCUGUUGUUAGGGGAGAACAAGGAUGAGAGUGGAAAGUUCAUCCCUUGACGGUAUCUAACCAGAAAGCCACGGCUAACUACGUG